UUGAUUUUGUUUGUUGCAUAAAAAAAGAAAAAAUAUGACGAAAAUUCUCAUGUUUUUUUUCGUGUUAUGGUCUGUUUUUCUUGCUUUUGUUUUAAGUGGCGUAAGUGCCGGACUAUAUUUGCCGUGUAUAGAGGAUAGGGACUGCGGUUACAUAUUAAAUUUACCUUGGCAUAUGCAUUGGUUUCUGCGUUGUGUUAAUGAUACAAAUAUGUGUGUUGGAAUAGAAGGCGUGAAGACUAUGAUGUUAUGAGAGAUAUUUUUAUGGGCCUAUCCAGAUUCGUAUAAUAGGUUGUAGACAUCUUCUAGACUAGUAAUCGUCAUUUCACCAAAUGUCAUGUGAAAUGAUGAAGUAUUUGGGUGCCACCUUUCUACUAAAUAAAAUAUAAAGUUGUUGUCUAUCUGUAUCAAACUACUCUGUUGUAGUGGGGUUAAACUAAUCAACUGUAUCUAUCCCUACCGCUCGAGGGAGUACUUGCAAAGUAAAUUGUUGCAGCUUCUUAUCAGGGACAACAAUCUUCAACAUGGGUCGCUCUUGUAUACAAAUAAAAUAUAUGAAAUUAAAAAUAUAAAAUAAAUAAUAAUUAAAUAAAUAUAUCAAAAUAAUAAUUAAAUAAAUAUAAAAUAUAUGAAUUUGCCUUACGUCUUCAUACCACAAUCUGCGAGCGAUAUGAUGCUUAUAUCGCGUAAGGACCGAUGCAACAUAUGGUCUUCCACGACAUCGAACAACCUCAUCGUGUUAUACGUCCGCCUCCUCAUGUAUAGGAUCUUCCACAACUACAAGUUCUUCCUCCUAUACAAAGUCAUCAUCAUCUUGUAUAGGCUCCUUCUGCCUCAACACAUUUACCUCUUGCACAAAAUCCUCCUCCUUUUGUAUAUCAUUAUCUUGUGGUUGUUGUUGUCCCUUUCUCAAUGAUUUUAUACGUUGAUUAAAUCCUGACAACACAAUAUAUGGAAGAAAAUGAAGCAGAAACAUCGUGUGUUACAUACACAAUUUUUU